UACGGAGGGUGCAAGCGUUAAUCGGAAUUACUGGGCGUAAAGGGUGCGCAGGCGGCUUCGCAAGUCAGACGUGAAAUCCCCGGGCUUAACUUGGGAAUGGCGUUUGAAACUACGCAGCUGGAGUGUGGUAGAGGGAGGUGGAAUUCCACGUGUAGCGGUGAAAUGCGUAGAUAUGUGGAGGAACACCGAUGGCGAAGGCAGCCUCCUGGGCCAACACUGACGCUCAUGCACGAAAGCGUGGGGAGCAAACAGG
rnacentral:rRNA from 1 species